CGUCUUUCAUUCUUGUGUUAUCAUGAAGAAUGACCAUUUACAUGGUAGAUACUGAGAUGAGACCCAUGAUUAUAAAGCUGAAGAUGAGUUGGCUGCAGUCCUAUACUGAGGAAUAUAAAAACUCAAUAUUGGGGUCCUGCCAAAAAUAAUUUGCAGACUUUUUUACUUUAGGGCUGAAGUAGACAAGUACAGUACACGUAUAUUUAGGUCAUAUUCUAAUUUUAUAAUUAGAACAGGAAGAUACUGAGGAUAACCUCAGUACUUACUACUGCAAAUUCCUGGAGUAUAGAGAUUCACAAUAUCUGGAUAAAGUUUUAGCUUAGUAGGAAUUAGUAAAGCAAUGGAUUUAACCCGAGGCACUAAGAAAUUAUAUCACCAACAUAACUAACAAGUCUCUGUAUCAAAAAUAAAAAGGACUUUUAAUGGUUUUAGAGAUCAAGAUUAGCUAUACUAGACUUUUUUUCCAUGUAGAAUAGUAUAGUAAUACAGUUACACCCCGUCAAAUAGUGCCAUGUGAUCUUUAAUCACCAAGUAGCCAGGAUCUCAAUUUCACCUCCCUUAGCACAGCGGCGUUGGUUAGGGAAAUGAUCCAGCGAAGAGUGUUGGUCCACGAACCCCACAAUAGCAGACAACCUGGUUUUCCAGAAGUGUCCCAUCCCAGUAUUGAUCAAGACCACACAUUGUGCGCUAAUUUUUUCAUGGGUAAUGCUAACUCCUCCUUGAACACAGAGGGUAAAUUUCAAAGAAAGAGAAGCCUGCACAUAUAUAUAAACAGCAGAGAUCUGAGGAAGCAGACUCAACAGCCCGUAGGAGACAAUCUUGCUCACAAGAUUUGUGACCCUGUCAAAAAUCACAAAAACAAAAUGGUCAAGUCCGGAGACAACUGUGAAGAUGUGUAAUACAUUUAUUAAACAAAACAUGUUAGUCUGAUAUUAACAUCUUAGUAAAUUAAUGUCUUGAUAAUGUUUUGAUAAUGUUACAAUAUUUUCAGUCAGGAACUUGCACUGGCAUUCACUAGUAUUUAGGUUAAAAUGUUAACCAAAUAAUUGAUCCUUUCACAGAUUAAUGUCUGUGAAAGGAUAUUGCUAAUUCCUGUUCUGGACAGAAAAGAAACAUUAUGUACAGUAAUUAUAUGGCUUUGCUGUUAAUUGUUACUUAUGGUAAAGCAUUAUAUAUGUGUGAAGCCUUAUAAAUAAAAUGUUUUAUUUUAAUGUUGUUUUUAUUUAAAGAAAGCACCUCAAUCUCUACAAAUUAAUCAAUGCCAUGGAUUGCAUCAAAUAUACCAAGAUUUAUUUUCUCAGGAGUAUGUGCAAAUGAAUGUAUAUCCAUAAAUGUAUAUCAUGCUCCAGAUUCUUGUAUUUGUUUGGAAUUUUAUAUAAAUAAAUCAAUUUUUAAAAUUAUUUUAAAAGUCUGUAUAUAUCCUUGUAAUUCCUGAAAGACAGUAUGCCAUAUCCAGGUGGGGCUGCACAUUGGUGGUGGUGGAGGGGAGUCCCCAUUACCUGUAAAGCGCUUUGAGUGGAGAGUCCAGAAAAGUGCUAUAUAAGUGUAAGCAUUUGUUCUUGUUCUUGUUCUUGUUCUUGUUCUUGUUCUUGUUCUUGUUCUUGUUCUUGUUCUUGUUCUUGUUCUUGUUCUUAUUGUAGGGUCCCUGCAUCCUCUGAGUAACAUCUCAUAGGGUCAAUUGCAAUGUGCUGGAGGAUCUCUUAAAGAACUGUAUACUAACCCUGAGAUAAUCUCCAGUUAAUACACUGUUCUCAGAUUGUUCCAAUUGACCCUGAAGGAAUGGAAAUUUAUCAACGCAUUGGUAAAAUAAUUUUAGAUUGCUUUUAUAAACUUAAACAUGCUUUAGCAGAAGUAAAUAUAGGUUGUUUUUGCAAAGGUGUUUUGUUCUUCCCACAUAUGCUAAAUUAAGAAAAUGUGUCAUAAAGAAUGUUUGAUUAGCUCUGUCUGUAGGCUGGUUUAAGAUGUAGUAUGCUGGUACUUUUAACCGCAAGAAAACUAACAUGUAUCAAGGUCAUCUAAGUGUGAUAGCUUAGCAAUUGACAAGAAGAUUUAAAAUUAGGUACAGGGUUAGGCCACAUAAGGGAUUUUUGCUUUUUUAAAACUUAACAGUUCCUUAUCUUAGUUGUAGGUCUACAAUAGAAUAAAAAGGAUUAUAACAAUAUGAAAGGUUACUUAAGGGGAAAAUGCUUAUGCUACACUACAUGGGGUUGGUGAAAGACUUCUCCAGAUAACUAUUUUGUAAUGGUUUAAAUAAAAAACAUACCUGAG
rnacentral:lncRNA from 1 species